CAGUCGUACCUUCGAGUAAUCAGCCUUUUGGGUGUGAUUUUGUGGAGCGUGAAGAGUUAAACGCCUUCAUGCCCGCAUAUUCGUGCACUUUGGGUGUACUUGCCCGUAUGGUUGGUUAACAUCAAUUUUGAUGGUCAUAAAAUGACUGGAGGAAUGUAGCUUCGAUCUCGUAUUGAAGUGUUAUAGCCUUCGGUAGAUGUGAUGAUCGAGAUUGAGGAUUGCAACGGAUACCCUUCGGGGCUACCUGUCUGAUCUCUGAUCGUUGCUCUGGUGCCGAAAGCUUGCUUACGGUUAUCAAAGUCGAUGGUCAAUAGGUUAGAACGGGUUAAA
rnacentral:rRNA from 1 species